GGGCGGGCCCAGCCGCACCCAGCGCUCUCUGUCAGCGGCGAGCAUGGCCAGCACUACCACUUGCUGCUGCCCUCCUUCUUCCACCUCCUGGAGACCCUGCACCAGGAGGGGAGGCACUUCGCCGUCAUCCUGAGGACCUUCGGCACAGACCUCCCCCGUGCCCUGCACGCCGUGCACUGUGCCUUGGAGGGGCAGCACCCCCAGUUCCCUGCCCUGCGGGACCUCUCGCUCCCGGUGGACCUUACAGCAGGCCGCAUCCGCUGCAGUGAGCGCGAGGUGGUGCUGAGCCAGGGAGCAGAGCGCGUUUCCAGCAGGGACGGAGGAAGGAAGCUGUACAGCUAUUUCAGCUCCCUGGAGGGCGUGGUUGGCUUCCAAGACCACUUUGAUUGGUGGGCCAGUAAUCAGUUCUCCUGCCGGGGUGGGAAGCCUGUUUGGAUUGACCCGCACGACUCCUGCGUGCAGCACAUCUUCAUCGACGACAACGUUCGCCCGGACGACUCGGACUCCAUCGUCUGCCCCCAGGU